rnacentral:rRNA from 1 species
GACGAACGCUGGCGGCGUGCUUAACACAUGCAAGUCGAACGGAAAGGCCCUGCUUUUGUGGGGUGCUCGAGUGGCGAACGGGUGAGUAACCCGUGAGUAACCUGCCCUUGACUUUGGGAUAACUUCAGGCAACUGGGGCUAAUACCGGAUAGGAGCUCCUGCUGCAUGGUGGGGGUUGGAAAGUUUCGGCGGUUGGGGAUGGACUCGCGGCUUAUCAGCUUGUUGGUGGGGUAGUGGCUUACCAAGGCUUUGACGGGUAGCCGGCCUGAGAGGGUGACCGGCCACAUUGGGACUGAGAUACGGCCCAGACUCCUACGGGAGGCAGCAGUGGGGAAUAUUGCACAAUGGGCGGAAGCCUGAUGCAGCAACGCCGCGUGCGGGAUGACGGCCUUCGGGUUGUAAACCGCUUUCGCCUGUGACGAAGCGUGAGUGACGGUAAUGGGUAAAGAAGCACCGGCUAACUACGUG